CCUACGGGAGGCAGCAGUGGGGAAUUUUGGACAAUGGGCGCAAGCCUGAUCCAGCAAUGCCGCGUGAGUGAAGAAGGCCUUCGGGUUGUAAAGCUCUUUUGUCAGGGAAGAAACGGUCGAGGUUAAUACCUUUGGCUAAUGACGGUACCUGAAGAAUAAGCACCGGCUAACUACGUGCCAGCAGCCACGGUAAUACGUAGGGUGCAAGCGUUAAUCGGAAUUACUGGGCGUAAAGCGUGCGCAGGCGGUUUUGUAAGUCUGACGUGAAAUCCCCGGGCUCAACCUGGGAAUUGCGUUGGAGACUGCAAGGCUGGAGUCUGGCAGAGGGGGGUAGAAUUCCACGUGUAGCAGUGAAAUGCGUAGAGAUGUGGAGGAACACCGAUGGCGAAGGCAGCCCCCUGGGUCAAGACUGACGCUCAUGCACGAAAGCGUGGGGAGCAAACAGGAUUAGAUACCCUGGUAGUCCACGCCCUAAACGAUGUCUACUAGUUGUCGGGUCUUAAUUGACCUUGGUAACGCAGCUACGCGUGAGUAGACCGCCGUCGGGAGGUACGGUCGCGAGAGUUAAACGUAACAAUAGUAAGUUAGUACGGCGUGAGACGUAGACCGACGGACGACGACGAGGGAGGAGG
rnacentral:rRNA from 1 species